AUACGUAGGGGGCAAGCGUUAUCCGGAUUUACUGGGUGUAAAGGGAGCGUAGACGGCAUGGCAAGUCUGAUGUGAAAACCCGGGGCUCAACCCCGGGAUUGCAUUGGAACCUGUCAAGCUAGAGUGCAGGAGAGGUAAGUGGAAUUCCUAGUGUAGCGGUGAAAUGCGUAGAUAUUAGGAGGAACACCAGUGGCGAAGGCGGCUUACUGGACGAUAACUGACGCUGAGACACGAAAGCGUGGGGAGCAAACAGGAUUAGAUACCCUGGUAGUCCACGCCCUAAACGAUGAAUGCUAGGUGUAGGGGAGUCAUCUUCUGUGCCGCAGCUAACGCAAUAAGCAUUCCACCUGGGGAGUACGGCCGCAAGGUUGAAACUCAAAUGAAUUGACGGGG
rnacentral:rRNA from 1 species